rnacentral:lncRNA from 1 species
UGUCCCGACCCUUCUCCGCAUUUUACCUUUACAUUUGUAACCGUUACCUUUACAUUUGUACAAACGUGCUCUUGAUGCGAAAAAAAACAUGCACAAAUAAAAAAAGCAUCAAUGAAAUUGGUAUAAAAAGAAGAGGAAAAACAAACAGAGUGGACAGUUGAAAAACCAAAAAGUUAAAACACCGAAGCGUCAACAAUUGACGAAUAAAUUAUUGCAAGAGCUGUCCACUUAUUACGGUCUAGCAAUUAGACGUAAUUUAGAUUCAACUGAAGGGAUGAGAAGUGAAACAUGGGCCGCAUAUUAUCACAAAAUUUCAACAGAUGAAAAUCCGCAACACUCGUACUGUCCUCCAGGUUCCGAAUCGUGGUGCAAGUGGCGUCAAAGUGAGGCUGCAGGUACUUUAGACACCUACGAGCAUCCACCUGCUCUCGACGAUGAUGCACAAGAAAUAUUAAAACCAAUUUAUGAAGAAUUGACCGCCGAAAAUUUAUUGGAAAGGUGUAUUGGCAGCAAUACGCAGAACAACAACGAAAGUUUCAACGCUUGUGUGUGGCACCUUGCGCCGAAACAUAUGUUUGCCGGCAAAAAAAUCGUGGAUAUUGCCACCUAUCUUUCCGCGUGUAUAUUCAACGAGGGCUUUGCAUCGCUAUUAAAAAUAAUGGAGACCAUAGGCAUAACAAUCGGGCCACAAUCGGAGCAACUCGCGCGAAACCGAGACGAGCGGCGAGUAUCGAGCGCCAACCGUAGGAGCACCGACAACUCCAAAGAAGCUCGAACAGCUCGAAAAAAUGAAAGGAGUGACGAAAUCGUGGAAUACAAACGUUCCGAAGGGAUCCUCUAUGGUGCCGGAAUUGCGGAUUAACUAUGAGUAGAAGUCUCGAAAUCACCUCCGCAGUCCGGAUCCGAUUUUUCGAGAGGGUCAUCUUUAGCGGCAUUUUUAUAAUAAUAAAUAUUGUUUUUAAAAGGAAAAAAAAUUUUUUUUGUAUGAUUAAUAAACGUAGUAAUAAGCUCGAAAAGUUAGAACAUCGUUUUUUUUAUUUUUAAUAGCAAAAAAAAAAUCGUGAAAAUAGGUGUCAUUUUCGUGCGCUAGACCACCGGGUCCCCUUAACAAUCACGACCACGAUUUCGACCUGAACCACUGGCUCCUUCUUACUUCCCAGACAUAUUUGAUACUUAAUUCCACUCUGCUUUCAUUGGUAAAACUAGAAGGAAAUAUGAAGCUACAUCAAUUGUGCAACAGAGUAAUUUGAAAUCGAGCUUCACUCAACCAGCUUUAUAGACUUGCAUUAGUGUUAUCUAGUAAUUACCGACUGCUUACAUAAAACUAUAACCAGCCUACUUCUGACAAGCAAUCAGUAAAUGGCCCUGAGUAUGUACUGUGGCCUGAUGUAACAAUUUUGUACGUUUAGAAAUUUGCGACUCAAUGUGUGCUGCAAUUGCAACAAGUACAAUUUCACUUUUGCUAACAGUAGUAGUGAUGGAAUGUAAUCUCACAAUUAGAUAUACUGUUACAGUGGGAGCUGGAUAUCAAUGUUUGCAUUGAUGAAACAUUUGCUUGGUUGAAUAGUUUAUUCGUUCAAUUUUUUUCAUCUUUUAAAAAUUAUGUAUAAAAAUAUAAAUCAAUAAUAACUUGCAUCAUAAAAUAUUAUUUUGUGGAAACUUUUCUUUCGUUUCCAAUGUGAGAAAUGAGAAAAAAAAAAAACUUAUUUUAUUAGCAUUUCACAGAUUCGAUUAUAGUCAGACAUUUGUAUAUAAUACACACACAUAUAUAUAUAUAUAUAUAUAUAUACUUAUAAUAUAAUGUUUCUGAACUAAUCAUCUGGACUUAUGAGAUCAUUUAAAUAACGUUCUUGGUAUGAUUCCGCUUCUGCGUUUUGUUUUUGGUAUUGUCGGUUCGGGAUUUCUCUAAAACGUAAGCUUAUCACUACGUAAAACUUACAG